rnacentral:rRNA from 1 species
AAUCGAACCCGGAGAUAGCUGGUUCUCCUCGAAAUAGCUUUAGGGCUAGCCUCGUUUUAGUCUUAUGGAGGUAGAGCACUGAAUUUCCGCGGGGGCGUCAAAGCUUACCAAAGAAUAUCAAACUCCGAAUGCCAUGUAGAUGAUGAUCGGGAGUCAGACUGCACGAGAUAAGUUGGGCAGUCAAAAGGGAAAGAGCCCAGACCACCGGCUAAGGUCCCAAAGUGCGUGUUAAGUGGAAAAGGAUGUGGGAAUUCGAAGACAACUAGGAUGUUGGCUCAGAAGCAGCCAUACAUUCAAAGAGUGCGUAACAGCUCACUAGUCGAGAGUUCCUGCGCCGAAAAUGUCCGGGGCUGAAACACGACACCGAAGCCGUGGACUCGCAAUGCGAGUGGUAGAGGAGCAUUCUUAAAACCGACGAAGCUGUACCGUAAGGAGCAGUGGAGGGAUAAGAAGAGAGAAUGCCGGAAUGAGUAGCGAGAGAAAGGUGGGAAUCCUUUCGGCCGAAUAUCUAAGGUUUCCAGAGUAAAGCUGAUCUGCUCUGGGUAAGUCGGGGCCUAAGCACAGGUCGCAAGACGUAAGCGAUGGAUAACAGGUUUAGAUUCCUGUACCACGCAUUAUCAGAACUGUAGGGACGCAUGUGGAAAGCACGAGCCGGGAAUGGAAAAACCGGUACAAGCGGGGUAGGUGUACAAUAGGCAAAUCCGUUGUAUAAUCCGAAGACGUGAUGUGGAGCGAAAUAAAGUAGUGAAGCGUGUGAGCCAUGUGCCGAGAAAAGCUGCUAUUGUGUAAUGCGUGCCCGUACCGUAAACCGACACAGGUGGAUGAGGAGAGAAUCCUAAGGCCGACGGAAGAAGCAUUGUUAAGGAAUUCGGCAAAAUGACCCCGUAACUUCGGGAGAAGGGGUGCCUGCGAGAGCAGGCCGCAGAGAAUAGGCUCAAGCAACUGUUUAGCAAAAACACAGGUCUAUGCGAAACCGAAAGGUGAAGUAUAUGGGCUGACGCCUGCCCGGUGCUGGAAGGUUAAGAGGAGAGGUUAGCGCAAGCGAAGCUUUGAAUUUAAGCCCCAGUAAACGGCGGCCGUAACUAUAACGGUCCUAAGGUAGCGAAAUUCCUUGUCGGGUAAGUUCCGACCCGCACGAAAGGCGUAAUGAUUUGAGCACUGUCUCGACAAUGCAUCCGGUGAAAUUGAAGUACCAGUGAAGAUGCUGGUUACCCGCGCCAGGACGGAAAGACCCCAUGGAGCUUUACUCCAGUUUGAUACUGGGAUUCGGUACUGCAUGUACAGGAUAGGUGGGAGACGAAGAAGGAUGGACGCCAGUCUGUCCGGAGUCGCUGUUGGGAUACCACCCCUGUAGUACUGGGUUUCUAACCAGUCACCGUGAACCGGUGAUGGGACAAUGUCAGGCGGGGAGUUUGACUGGGGCGGUCGCCUCCGAAAGGGUAUCGGAGGCGCUCAAAGGUUCCCUCAGAAUGGUUGGAAACCAUUUGAAGAGUGCAAAGGCAGAAGGGAGCUUGACUGCGACACCGACGGGUGGAGCAGGUACGAAAGUAGGACUUAGUGAUCCGGUGGUAUAAAGUGGGAUUGCCAUCGCUCAACGGAUAAAAGCUACCCUGGGGAUAACAGGCUUAUCACUCCCAAGAGUUCACAUCGACGGAGUGGUUUGGCACCUCGAUGUCGGCUCAUCGCAUCCUGGGGCUGUAGUAGGUCCCAAGGGUUGGGCUGUUCGCCCAUUAAAGCGGUACGCGAGCUGGGUUCAGAACGUCGUGAGACAGUUCGGUCCCUAUCCGGCGCGGGCGGAGGAUAUUUGAGAGGAGCUGUCCUUAGUACGAGAGGACCGGGAUGGACGGACCACUGGUGUAUCUGUUGUCGACCAACGGCAUGGCAGAGUAGCCAAGUCUGGAAGGGAUAAACGCUGAAGGCAUCUAAGCGUGAAGCCCCCCUCAAGAUGAGAUAUCCCUCCUUCGGGAGUAAGACCCCUUGA